rnacentral:lncRNA from 1 species
AGCCGAUCGCAACGAUAAAGGGGUAUGUUGAGCUAAGCUACUUUGUGUUUUUGCAUUAAUUUGAAGCUUGUCUCAGUUUUAUCAUUAAUUAAAUUCUAAUUAAUAUUGUUUUGAGAUUUUGGUGUCUUCAUAAGGAAAUCAUAAAUAUGAAAGAAUAUUUGUAAUCAUUGUAGGAUGCUUGAGACCUAUUUGGGUAUAUUUAUAUGCAUAUUUAUGUUUGU